rnacentral:rRNA from 1 species
AUUGAACGCUGGCGGCAUGCCUUACACAUGCAAGUCGAACGGUAACGGGCCUUCGGGUGCCGACGAGUGGCGAACGGAUGAGUAAUGCAUCGGAACGUACCUUUCAGUGGGGGAUAACGUAGCGAAAGUUACGCUAAUACAGCAUAUUCUGUGUGCAGGAAAGCAGGGGAUCGCAAGACCUUGCGCUGAUUGAGCGGCCGAUAUCAGAUUAGCUAGUUGGUGAGGUAAAGGCUCACCAAGGCGACGAUCUGUAGCGGGUCUGAGAGGAUGAUCCGCCACACUGGAACUGAGACACGGUCCAGACUCCUACGGGAGGCAGCAGUGGGGAAUUUUGGACAAUGGGGGCAACCCUGACCCAGCCAUGCCGCGUGAGUGAAGAAGGCCUUCGGGUUGUAAAGCUCUUUCGGCCGGGAAGAAAUCGUAUCAGCUAAUACCUGGUGCGGAUGACGGUACCGGCAUAAGAAGCACCGGCUAACUACGUGCCAGCAGCCGCAGUAAGAC